rnacentral:rRNA from 1 species
GAUGAACGCUAGCUACAGGCUUAACACAUGCAAGUCGAGGGGCAGCAUGGUCUUAGCUCGCUAAGGCCGAUGGCGACCGGCGCACGGGUGAGUAACACGUAUCCAACCUGCCGUCUACUCUUGGACAGCCUUCUGAAAGGAAGAUUAAUACAAGAUGGCAUCAUGAGUCCGCAUGUUCACAUGAUUAAAGGUAUUCCGGUAGACGAUGGGGAUGCGUUCCAUUAGAUAGUAGGCGGGGUAACGGCCCACCUAGUCUUCGAUGGAUAGGGGUUCUGAGAGGAAGGUCCCCCACAUUGGAACUGAGACACGGUCCAAACUCCUACGGGAGGCAGCAGUGAGGAAUAUUGGUCAAUGGGCGAGAGCCUGAACCAGCCAAGUAGCGUGAAGGAUGACUGCCCUAUGGGUUGUAAACUUCUUUUAUAAAGGAAUAAAGUCGGGUAUGCAUACCCGUUUGCAUGUACUUUAUGAAUAAGGAUCGGCUAACUCCGUGCCAGCAGCCGCGGUAAUACGGAGGAUCCGAGCGUUAUCCGGAUUUAUUGGGUUUAAAGGGAGCGUAGAUGGAUGUUUAAGUCAGUUGUGAAAGUUUGCGGCUCAACCGUAAAAUUGCAGUUGAUACUGGAUAUCUUGAGUGCAGUUGAGGCAGGCGGAAUUCGUGGUGUAGCGGUGAAAUGCUUAGAUAUCACGAAGAACUCCGAUUGCGAAGGCAGCCUGCUAAGCUGCAACUGACAUUGAGGCUCGAAAGUGUGGGUAUCAAACAGGAUUAGAUACCCUGGUAGUCCACACGGUAAACGAUGAAUACUCGCUGUUUGCGAUAUACAGCAAGCGGCCAAGCGAAAGCGUUAAGUAUUCCACCUGGGGAGUACGCCGGCAACGGUGAAACUCAAAGGAAUUGACGGGGGCCCGCACAAGCGGAGGAACAUGUGGUUUAAUUCGAUGAUACGCGAGGAACCUUACCCGGGCUUAAAUUGCAGAUGAAUUACGGUGAAAGCCGUAAGCCGCAAGGCAUCUGUGAAGGUGCUGCAUGGUUGUCGUCAGCUCGUGCCGUGAGGUGUCGGCUUAAGUGCCAUAACGAGCGCAACCCUUGUUGUCAGUUACUAACAGGUUCCGCUGAGGACUCUGACAAGACUGCCAUCGUAAGAUGUGAGGAAGGUGGGGAUGACGUCAAAUCAGCACGGCCCUUACGUCCGGGGCUACACACGUGUUACAAUGGGGGGUACAGAGGGCCGCUACCACGCGAGUGGAUGCCAAUCCCAAAAACCUCUCUCAGUUCGGACUGGAGUCUGCAACCCGACUCCACGAAGCUGGAUUCGCUAGUAAUCGCGCAUCAGCCACGGCGCGGUGAAUACGUUCCCGGGCCU